GAUCCUGGCUCAGGAUGAACGCUGGCGGCGUGCUUAACACAUUCAAGUCGAACGAAGCUACAUUGGUUAAUCCUUCGGGAAGCGCUGAUAUAGCUUAGUGGCGGACGGGUGAGUAACGCGUGAGUAACCUGCCUUAAUGAGGGGGGAUAACACCUGGAAACGGGUGCUAAUACCGCAUAAAGUAUUGUUUUUGCAUGGGAAUAAUACCAAAGCUGAGGCGCAUUAAGAUGGGCUCGCGUCCGAUUAG
rnacentral:rRNA from 1 species